rnacentral:rRNA from 1 species
CUACGUGCCAGCAGCCGCGGUAAUACGUAGGGCGCGAGCGUUGUCCGGAAUUAUUGGGCGUAAAGGGCUUGUGGGCGGUUGGUCGCGUCUGCCGUGAAAUUCUCUGGCUUAACUGGGGGCGUGCGGUGGGUACGGGCUGACUUGAGUGCGGUAGGGGAGACUGGAACUCCUGGUGUAGCGGUGGAAUGCGCAGAUAUCAGGAAGAACACCGGUGGCGAAGGCGGGUCUCUGGGCCGUUACUGACGCUGAGGAGCGAAAGCGUGGGGAGCGAACAGGAUUAGAUACCCUGGUAGUCCACGCUGUAAACGUUGGGCACUAGGUGUGGGGGCCACCCGUGGUUUCUGCGCCGUAGCUAACGCUUUAAGUGCCCCGCCUGGGGAGUACGGCCGCAAGGCUAAAACUCAAAGGAAUUGACGGGGGCCCGCACAAGCGGCGGAGCAUGCGGAUUAAUUCGAUGCAACGCGAAGAACCUUACCAAGGCUUGACAUGC